UGAGCGAUGGUGACAGGGGUUCCUGGUGCGGGCUGCAGACGCACCCAGGCAGAUCCGGCGUCGUGAACGCGGACCGGUUGAAUAGGAACCGGCUGCUUGUGUGCCGCCGCCUUGAAGGUCUCCAGGAUCUCCUUGUAAUGGCGUGUAUUUCGCUGCCCUGUGAUUCCCUGUGAGGACUGGGUGGUGAAUACCCUGGCAAAAGCAAGGUUCAUAUGAGGGUGGUCCUUGCAGGUGAUCUCUGCCCUGGCCAGUGCCGUCAGUUCCGAGACGGUCCACCGCGCGUUGAACUCUGCUGGUGGAAGAGAGUUUGCGGUGCCAAUGUACGUGUGACCUCUGCGAUGAUGGAUUUAGCAAAGGGACCAGGAACGAUGACAGUUGGCGGGGUGUCUGGCGAGGGGCCACAAAGGGAUGAAGUUCGGAGUAAGGGCCGGAGGAAUCUUGCACUGAUGGCAGUGGUCCCCCUGGAGUGGCAGUGGGGGGCUCACCAUGUGCAGGAACCCUGGAGUCCGGCCGAGGUACCCCUGCGUACCCCUUGGCGAGUUCUUUGUUGGUAAACUUCAUCUUGGCGGGCAUCGACAAUUCUUGGACCGCCAAAGUCCUGACGUCCUCCGCGGUCCAGUCACCUGCUGGUGGGAGACGCAAAGCAGGGGUGCUGGUUGUGAAGGGCAUCGACAUGUCUGCCCUCUUGGAGUCCCGGGAGAACUCUGGGUGCUCCUUCUCCUCGGUGUGACUUGCAGGGGAAGGAGUGGAAGCCUGCGGAAGCUCGUUGCUGGCCACACUGUAGGCAUCAGGCUGAUCUUUGGCAUGAAGUCUGGAAGUCCUUAUCCUCUCCAAGGGAGAGGGACCCACCAAUAGCCCCAUGGCAACACACAACCGCCGGGGCGCUUCAUCGCCCGUGCACCACGGAGGUCAUCUGCUGAUGCCGACGAAAGCACCUGACCCCCCCCGAAGGCAAAGUAUAGUCAAUACCUUAAAAUCCUGUCUACCAAACCCAAGAUUGGUAAGAGCUGCAGCACUUUUUGGCGACCAAACACUUGAUAUAUAUGUGAUAGUCAAACUAGUCACAACCGGUGCAACACUAUUGGCCCCUUUAAUAAUAUCCAGAAGCUCUGGAACACUAUAGUUUGCACUUUCCGCUCAUGUGCGGCAUCUGGGGUGGAAUACGUACCCACCACCUGUGUAUCAACCACA